rnacentral:tRNA from 1 species
GGGUCGGUAGCUCAGCGGUAGAGCACCGCACUUUUAAUGCGAUGGUCCUGGGUUCGAGUCCCAGCCGACCCA